rnacentral:rRNA from 1 species
CCUACGGGAGGCAGCAGUGGGGAAUUUUGGACAAUGGGCGCAAGCCUGAUCCAGCAAUGCCGCGUGAGUGAAGAAGGCCUUCGGGUUGUAAAGCUCUUUUGUCAGGGAAGAAACGGUUGGGGCUAAUAUCCUCGGCUAAUGACGGUACCUGAAGAAUAAGCACCGGCUAACUACGUGCCAGCAGCCGCGGUAAUACGUAGGGUGCAAGCGUUAAUCGGAAUUACUGGGCGUAAAGCGUGCGCAGGCGGUUUUGUAAGUCUGUCGUGAAAGCCCCGGGCUUAACCUGGGAAUUGCGAUGGAGACUGCAAGGCUUGAAUCUGGCAGAGGGGGGUAGAAUUCCACGUGUAGCAGUGAAAUGCGUAGAGAUGUGGAGGAACACCGAUGGCGAAGGCAGCCCCCUGGGUCAAGAUUGACGCUCAUGCACGAAAGCGUGGGGAGCAAACAGGAUUAGAUACCCUGGUAGUCCACGCCCUAAACGAUGUCUACUAGUUGUCGGGUCUUAAUUGACUUGGUAACGCAGCUAACGCGUGAAGUAGACCGCCUGGGGAAGUCGGUCGCAAGNUUAAAACNGAAAGAUGACGNNGAGAGNGCGAGACGACGACGAGGGAGGAGG